GGAAUAUUGGUCAAUGGAGGCAACUCUGAACCAGCCAUGCCGCGUGCAGGAUGACGCAUCUAUGGUGUGUAAACUGCUUUUGUACAGGAAGAAAAAAAGUUACGUGUAAUUUAUUGACGGUACUGUAAGAAUAAGGAUCGGCUAACUCCGUGCCAGCAGCCGCGGUAAUACGGAGGAUCCAAGCGUUAUCCGGAAUCAUUGGGUUUAAAGGGUCCGUAGGCGGGUUAUUAAGUCAGUGGUGAAAGUUUUCGGCUUAACCGAAAAAUUGCCAUUGAUACUGGUAGUCUUGAAUUAUUGUGAAGUAACUAGAAUAUGUAGUGUAGCGGUGAAAUGCUUAGAUAUUACAUGGAAUACCAAUUGCGAAGGCAGGUUACUAACAAUAUAUUGACGCUGAUGGACGAAAGCGUGGGUAGCGAACAGGAUUAGAUACCCUUG
rnacentral:rRNA from 1 species